rnacentral:rRNA from 1 species
AACCUUAGUACGGCGAGUGAGCGGCAAAAGCUCAGAUUUGAAAUCUGGCACCUGCUGGUGCCCUAGUUGAUAUUUGGAGAGUACCACUUUGGGACUGUACUUUGCCUUUCUUCCUUGCAAGGCGACCUCGUGGAGGGUGAGAAUCCCGUGUGCCGAGGGUGUCAGUUCUUUGUAUCGGAUGCUCCAAGAUUCUUGUUGUUUGGGAAUGCAGCUCUGGUGGGUGGUAAAUUCCAUCUAUAGCUAAAUACAGACGAGAGACCGAUAGCGAACAAGUACGAUGAUGGAAAGAUGAAAAGAACUUUGAUGAGACAGUGAAAAAGUUUGUGAAAUUGUUGAAAGGGAAGGGCAUUUGAUCAGACUUGGUGUUUUGCGCCUCUUGCCUCUCGUGGGCUUGGGACUCUCUGGGCUCACUGGGCCACUUGCUGUUUUGGCGGCCGGAAAAAACCUAGGGAAUGUGGAUCUGCGCCUCGGGGUCAGUGUUAUAGCCCUGGGGAAUACGACCACCCGCGACCGAGGACUGCGAUACUUGUUAUCUACGAUGCUGGCAUAAUGGUUAAUGGCCGACCAUCUUGAAAAAAGGACCCA